CUGCGGAGCUGCUGUCAACGCAUGCGCAUAAAUACUUCCGCAGGGCAAAUUUCAUUUUACGGAAAACGCUGCUUUCGUUUUGAUCAACUCAUAGAUCUUGCAAUAGUACGUUGUUGCAGUGUGUACAGGUGUUCUAAUAGAGACGAUGCGAGAGGAAAAGAGAAGGGGAGAAGUUUUUAAAGAUUUCCUAAAGAUGCACAUAAACGUUGAAAUUGGUUGAGGCACUGCAUCUGGAUGGAUUUGUACCCAUGCUGAAUGAACAUUCCUAUAUAUCUAUGUGUGUUCUGGGCACUUUGUGGUUUGGCACAUUGAUGUCAGAUCCCUAGAAUGAGACUUAUUUUCUCACCAUGUUCUCAUAAGGAUAUGUCUGUUGAUGCAGAAAUGCAGAACCAAGCAAUCAGAAGGAAUACUCAAAAAGGUAAAAAGUAUAGCAUUAAAGAAACUAGUCAAUUUAUAAAAAUAUUUCAUUUGAUGGAUAAUACAUGUACAUAUGCAUGUAUUUCAAGAAUGUCAUGAUUCAAAUUAGCAUCUGAUUAUAAUUUAAUGAUUCUGUACUUUUGUUUAUCAUAAGACAGUAAUUCAAGUAAGUGAUUAAUUUAGAAUUUAAGCUGAAGAAAUUCAAAUUAUUGACUUAUUACUUGAUUUUUCAUUAUGCAACACACAUAUUUUAUCUACAUAUAUAUAUAUGUUUAUUCACCAAUCAAGGGCCCUUGAGAGACAUGUACAGUUUAAGUAGCAAUUAGUUAUAACAAUAUAAAUAAAUAACAAUCAUUCAGAAGUACUAAUUCUGUCAGAUUUCACAUUUCAAAAAAAAAUUAAAAAAAUUCACAUUUCUGCACUGCACAUAUCAUAAUUAUAUAUGAAAUACUGACCGAAACAAGAUUUGAAUUAACAAUGAAAUAUACAAUAAUAAAUAACCGAAUUCAAUUGCUUCACACAUCUAAGGGCAGUGCCAGUUUCAGAGACAGUGGAUAAUGAUAAUGUUAUGUGAAUACAUAUGAAAUGGUAAUCAAUAUCAGUAUAAGAGUUUAGUAAAUACAAUAUGCAAAUAGAAUACACAUGUACAUGCAGGAUCCAGUUGUUCUGAAUGUUUUAUGCCUACAACUUUUACUAUGUAUAAACUACCCCAAAAUCAGGUGAAAUUGUAUAUUGUUUUAGUCAAUUACCUACAUUCUUUGAAGAAAUAUAUUUAGAAAUUAAUUAUUAUCCAUGUACCGGUAUGACUUUUGUAUUUAUUUGUAAUAAAAUGUGAUCAUUUUAAAAUUUUACAUUAUGUCCAUUUACAUCUACAUACAAAUAUUACCUUUCGAAAAGAAAAAGAUGGGGCAUAUUGUUUUUCAUUUGUCGGUCUGUCUGUCAAUCUAUCGGUCUGUAGACCAAGUCUUAUCUGCUCCAUAUCUCAAGAAUCCUUGGCUUGGCAAACAUCAAACUUUGUGAACAGGUACAUCUUAGAGAGUUGAUAACUUUAUUAAUUUUGAGGUCAGAUGGUCAAAGGUCAAUCCACUCUGGAUAUAGAAAGACAUUGUCUGCUCAAUAUCUCAAAUUGUUUUGUCACCACAAUUAAUAAGUAAGUAAGUAAGUAAAUGAUUUAUUAUAGUGACAUGUGUUUUAUACAUUACAGAAUUGAAAAAUACAUUAAAAAGAAUAAUAGGAAUUUAAACACCCGGCCCAAUAUGUCACUUUUAACAGAAAAAACCCAUUAAAUAAUAAAUACAGUGGUACACGUAUUACGCAUGGCUUUUACUAUUAUGGUAUAUGAUAGACUGUCUGUAGGUGUAUGCGGAGAACAGGAAAUUUGCAGUUUGUCUUGGAAAAUUUAAUAAUAGAAAUUUUGUUUUGUCUAAAUCUGACAUAUUGAUCACAGUGGGGUUAAAUCCGAUACUGGUAAAAAAGAUUACUCUAAGAUUUGAAUAAGAGGAACAAUGAAGUAAAAGGUGACAUUCAUCUUCUACACUAUCUGAAGAACAUGAAGUACAUAAAUGAUAUAUAACCCUGAUAAAUUUUGCACCAUGUGGAACAUACAUGUUUCUGAAACAUAUCUUGUUGAAUUUAUAUCUGCAGUAGAGCUACCUGGUGCCUAUUAAAGUGUGAAAAGAUGGUGUACUGGAGACGUACUUCUGCUACCCCUGGUGAGAGGGCCCGACCCAAAUGUCUGAUGUCAUUGGAGCAUAUAGAUCAGUUUCUAGCCACAUUGAUGAGACGGAAAGUCGGAUUGUAUGUUGAAGAUAUUGCUGAAUGCUUUGGAUUCUCAGUCACACCAACUUUCACCUCACUUUCCAUGAUGUCAGGAGCUUUGUUAGUGAUAUUCCACAUCUGAAACAUAAACAUCCAUGAAUUAUCAAUUUUGUGUGCAUAUGUUUUGCACUUUAAAUGAUUAAAAGUGUUUGUCAUUAAAUAUGCUUUUAAUAAAUAAAUUUAAUAAUUAU